rnacentral:piRNA from 1 species
UUGCUAUCUCAGUGGACGUGGCUGUCAUCC